CAAAGGGGGGCAGGCCUACACAUGCAAGUCGAACGGACCCUUCGGGGUUAGUGGCGGACGGGUGAGUAACACGUGGGAACGUGCCUUUAGGUUCGGAAUAGCUCCUGGAAACGGGUGGUAAUGCCGAAUGUGCCCUUCGGGGGAAAGAUUUAUCGCCUUUAGAGCGGCCCGCGUCUGAUUAGCUAGUUGGUGAGGUAACGGCUCACCAAGGCGACGAUCAGUAGCUGGUCUGAGAGGAUGACCAGCCACACUGGGACUGAGACACGGCCCAGACUCCUACGGGAGGCAGCAGUGGGGAAUCUUGCGCAAUGGGCGAAAGCCUGACGCAGCCAUGCCGCGUGAAUGAUGAAGGUCUUAGGAUUGUAAAAUUCUUUCACCGGGGACGAUAAUGACGGUACCCGGAGAAGAAGCCCCGGCUAACUUCGUGCCAGCAGCCGCGGUAAU
rnacentral:rRNA from 1 species